UAGGGAAUCUUCGGCAAUGGGGGGAACCCUGACCGAGCAACGCCGCGUGAGUGAAGAAGGUUUUCGGAUCGUAAAGCUCUGUUGUUAAGGAAGAACGAGUGUGAGAAUGGAAAGUUCAUGCUGUGACGGUACUUAACCAGAAAGGGACGGCUAACUACGUGCCAGCAGCCGCGGUAAUACGGAGGUCCCGAGCGUUGUCCGGAUUUAUUGGGCGUAAAGCGAGCGCAGGCGGUUAGAAAAGUCUGAAGUGAAAGGCAGUGGCUCAACCAUUGUAGGCUUUGGAAACUGUUUAACUUGAGUGCAGAAGGGGAGAGUGGAAUUCCAUGUGUAGCGGUGAAAUGCGUAGAUAUAUGGAGGAACACCGGUGGCGAAAGCGGCUCUCUGGUCUGUAACUGACGCUGAGGCUCGAAAGCGUGGGGAGCGAACAGG
rnacentral:rRNA from 1 species